AAAUAAUACAAAAUAAAAAUAUUUUUUAUUAUUUAGUACACACUAUUUGUAUUAUUUAGUACCACACUUUUUGCAAACCGUGAGCAUACAUCCAAGCUUCCCUAAAUAUACACACACUCGAGGUUGUGUUUAUAAGAGCUUUAUGGUUGCAAGUUUUGUGAAUAAUCUUUAAUCCUUUUGAGUUAAAGUGUUUUUUUUGGUACCACAAGAGUCCUGUAUUAUUUAGUACCACAAGAGUCCUGUAUUAUUCUUUUGCAUAUGGAUAUCUAGUUUUGGAAACCUUCCCCAUUGUGUUGUUUUGGUGGUGUUUUGAAAAAUGUGUUCACUCUGUGUAAAUUUGUGUUUAUUAUUGAGCGCUCUCAUUUUGCUCACUGGUCUGUGUUUCUCUGUGUAUGCCAGUAACAUAUGGAUUGGUUAACUAGGGAUUUUCGUUUAAUUCGAACUCAGGGAAUGUGAUGCAGCCCAUAUGGUUUGUAUUUCUCAGGAUUGCUUUAGAAAUUCAGGGUGUUUCGUAUUUCCACAUAAAUUUUGGCAUUGUUUCUUUGUAUUUCUUAAAACACUAUUUGCCAUACACUAAGUGUAUAUAAGUAGAGGGUACAAGGAAGAUUUCGAUACAUGUAUAUGUUGAGUAAUGAAAAAAUCAAGUUAUUUAGCAUCUCUUCACCUCAUAGUUACUACUUUUUGAGUGGUAACAACAUUCAGAAUCUUUCCUUCUAGCUACUUUGAAAUAUAUGAUACAUUUGUAUUAAGGCUAGUCACCCUGCUGUAGAAUAGAAGACCAGAAUUGAUUACUGUCAUCUAAGAGUAACUUUGUACCCAUUACUGAUUCCUUCCCCGACCCUCUCCACCUCCCCAGCAGCCUCUGGUAAUCCCUAUUGAACUUUCUACUUCUAGGAGAUAAAGCUUUUUUCAGUCUACAUGUCUGAGAUCACGUGGCAUGGGACUUUCUCUGCCAGGCUCAUUUGUUGGACCUGAUGUUCUCCAGGUUUCUUCAUGUGGCUGCAGAUGGCAGGAUUUCCCAAAGCUUUAUGGCUGAAACAUAUUCCGUGGUGUAUCUGUAUGGCAGUUUCUUCAUCCCUGAAGCUGUGUACGGACAGCUUGGAAGCUGUCACUCCUGUCCUCACAACGACAACAAAAAACACCUUGAACAAACUGAAAAUUACAACUUUUCUUAGAUCCAUCAGAGACUUGAGGUUAACAGGGAAAACCGUUAUCCCCCAAAUUGGAGAGGCAGUGAGUCCCAGCCUAACAGGAUCGGAGGCUGGCCACUGGAGCCAGAACCACGGUGGGAAGACUUACAUGUAAACAACAAAUCGCUGGAGGCUCCAUGCACAUAAACUUGAGAAUUAAGAAUUAAGGGAGCCCAGUCUUAGGGGGCCCUACACUUUCAUGAACCUCCAAGAGCUCUGCCAGACGCUCUUAUGCACAUCAGAGAAAAAUUCCCUCCUGCUUCCCACAGGGAAGGGGAAAAGUAACUACUUUGAAAUAUGCCCUGGGUGUUCCGUUCUCCUUAGCAAAAGCCUGCCCCAGGGAAACCAUUUCACAAGAGUCUAACCACCUUGGGCUUUAGCAGGGCCUAACACCUGUUAGAAUAAGAAUAAAAAUUGCAUCAAACUUUUCUUCAGAACCCAUGCAAGCAAGCAAAAAAAUUCCACCAAACUAAAAUUCUGUAUCCUGCAAAAUUAUCUUUCCAAAGUGAAGAAAAAGACUUUCUCAGAGAAACACAAAUUUGCUGUCAGUAGAUCUGUCAAAAUGUUAAAAGAAGUUAUCCAGAGAGAAGAAAAUGAUAUAGGCUAAAAACU
rnacentral:lncRNA from 1 species